CACAAAGGAAACUACACCUGUGUUUACCACCUGCAUGUGUUCAACCACAACUUCUCCUCUCAGAGCCCCAGCCUCCAGCUCUCUCUGGGAGCUUCAGACUCAGCCCUGAUCUUCAGAGUCCUGCUCAUUCUACUGUUGAAGCUCCUCUACAUCCUUCCAAUGCUCUACUACUACUGCAAGGUCCGGGCCAGAGGGGGCGCUAGAGAGAGGACCUCAUAGGACCU